rfam:Myceliophthora thermophila ATCC 42464 chromosome 4, complete sequence.
GCCCGGCUAGCUCAAUCGGUAGAGCGUGAGACUCUUAAAAACUGGACUUACGGUUAUAUCUCAAGGUUGUGGGUUCGACCCCCACGUCGGGCU